rnacentral:rRNA from 1 species
CCUACGGGUGGCAGCAGUGAGGAAUAUUGGUCAAUGGGCGGAAGCCUGAACCAGCCAAGUCGCGUGAGGGACUAAGGCCCUACGUGUCGUAAACCUCUUUUGCCGGGGAUCAGUGCCCAGCUCGCGUGCCGGGAGGGAGCGUACCCGGAGAAAAAGCAUCGGCUAACUCCGUGCCAGCAGCCCCGGUAAUACGGAGGAUGCGAGCGUUAGCCGGUUUUGUGGGGUUUAAGGGGUGUGCAGGCGGUCUGUUAAGUCAGGGGUAAAAGCCCGGGGCGAAACCCCGGCCCGCCGUUGAAACUGGCAGUCUCGAGUUGGAGAGAAGUAUGCGGAAUGCGCGGUGUAGCGGUGAAAUGCAUAGAUAUCGCGCAGAACUCCGAUUGCGAAGGCAGCAUGCCGGCUCCACACUGACGCUGAGGCACGAAAGCGUGGGUAUCGAACAGGAUUAGAUACCCCAGUAGUC